rnacentral:rRNA from 1 species
AUUGAACGCUGGCGGCAGGCCUAACCCAUGCAAGUCGAGCGAGCGGCGGACGGGUGAGUAAUGUAUGGGGCAUGCCCUGUCGAGGGGGCUCACUACUGGCAACGGUGGCUAAUACCGCAUACUAUCGGAUAACCCAUAUGGGAUUAGCUAGUAGGUGGGGUAAAGGCUCACCUAGGCGACGAUCUCUAGCUGGUCUGAGAGGAUGAUCAUCCUGACGGGACCUGAGACACGGGCCAGCCUCCUGUGGAGGCUGCAGUGGGGAAUAGUGGACAAUGGGCGCAAGCCUGUUGCAGCAUUGCCGCGUGUAUGGAGAAGGCCUUAGGGUUGUAAAGUACUUUCAGCUGGGGGGCGUUGCCCGCAGGAGAAGCAACGGCUAGCUCCGUACCAGCAGCCGCGGUAAUAC